rnacentral:lncRNA from 1 species
GUUGAGUCUGUGGGGGAUCUUUCCAUAGUAACUGGAGCCCAAUUGCAGGUUGAGAAUCAUGGUUCUAAAGAUAUUCUCUUCUUACGGCUACGCUUCUCAACUGUCUUGGGAGCUAUGGUUGCUAAGCAUCCAGAAUGGGAUGGAUCACCUGGGUUGGCACCCAAGGCAGGACUCUUAUCCAUAUUAAGCAGUUCUCUCGUCUCAGACAUAUCAUUUAAGGAGCCACCUCCAAGGCUAGCUGAUGUAAGUAUAAACUCUGCUAUUUAUCCUGGAGGCCCACCUGAGCCUGUACAAGGCCCCAAGCUUUUGAAAUUUGUUGAUACAACAGAGAUGACAAGAGGGCCGGAAGAAAUUCCUGGAUAUUGGGUCGUUUCUGGGGCAAGGUUAGUUGUUGAGCAGGGAAAGAUCUCUCUCCAGGUUAAGUAUUCUUUAUUGACUGUAAUAAUGCCUGAUGAAGAAGCAAUAGAGGAGCACUAGCCGAUUUCUGUCACCACAUAUUUAGCUUUCCUGUUUCUCUUUGCCCAGCAUGGAAACAAAUAUAAGUAGGAAACAGUUGCUGAAGAUCAGAGAAUCCAACAAAAGAGAGAGAAAGGAGUAGGAAUGGUUUACACUGAGGGGAUAGGUUUGGGUGUGUUGGUGGUGGCUGGCUGGCUGGCUGUUUCAUUGUAUUCAUUACACAUUUUUUCUUGCAAUAUAAUUUCUUUUUUCUUUGUUUCUAAUAUGCAAUGAGCUUUUUGGUUAUAAGGUAUCCCCUGCUCUGUUUGAUGCUCUAUUUGCAAGGGCUUGUUUUCUUUGUAUGUAAUAUGCUUUUCAUAUGAUAGCUGUAUACACAACAAAUAGCUGUAUGCUUUACAUUGAUUAACUCAGCUCUUCAAAACAUAAUCAGGUUACAUCAACAUAUCCCAUUCUUUCAGUUGAAAUUUUUGUUCUUCUUUCUGGGUCAUGCACCUAUUUUUCAUUAUUUAAAAAAAAAAAAAGAACUAUGAACUCUGUAGUUCAAAGUUCAUGCAAUUCAAUAUGGAAUUAUGGGCUUGAUUACUAUUAUUUACACUGAAAAACCACUAUAAAUGGAGGAGAAUUGAUGAAUUUUUGUAGCUAUAAGACAAAGCUUGAGAAAUUAUGGGCUUGUGGGUCUCUCUUUCCAUCAUAAAAUUCCUCCAAGCCUAUUUGUGCAAUUAAUUUCUUGCCUAAUCAAGAGGCCAAACAUUCCAUUUAAGACCACAGAUUUGUAGUAAUUGAAACCACUACAACUUUUAUUUUUAGUUUAAGAAUUAAAACUAAUCAUUCCUCUAACGAUUUUGAUUGUCAUAAUAUUACAUAAUUACAACAAUAACCCAUCAUUAAUCAAAUACUAAUUUGCAAUUUAUUUUUAAGCCAAUUAUGAACUUCCUUUCGGUUUAUAAAAAUGGAAACGUUGACCACAAUCAAGUUGAAACAUGCCACUAUAAUUUACUUCAUAGCUUUAAAUAGAAGUAGUACUAUUUGCUGUCAUGAUGCGUUAUACUUGUGGUUAUUUAAAGUAUGUGUUAUGCUUGAUAAAUUAUUAUUAAAAUAAUUAGAUAUUUAAAUAUUAAUAAAUAAAUAAAUAUAAAAUUAAAUAUAUUCAAUUAAAUAGAUUAAAAUUUUAAAUACGUACAUGAUUACGAUUAUUACACAUUUUACACAUAUAAACAUGAUUAUGUCAUUUUAAUUUAAACCUGUCAUACGAAAGUUAAACAAUUAUGAUAUUUCUUAAGAUUUGAUAAUUUCGUAUCUUAAAUAUGUUGACGGUUUAAAACAUUAUGGAUGAUUUUAAAUUUAAAUUUAAAUCUUUAAUUAUGGUAAGAUAAUUAAAAUUAAGAAACUUGAUAGAGCAAAGAUUGGCGGUGGAGAAAAGUAGAGCAGCAGGCAGUGAAGUUAGAAGAACCUCAACGUUGAAAGCUCCACUUUGACUCUCUGUUCCUCUAUACCCCCAUAGAACUCCCAGUUAAGAGUACGAGUGUCACAUGUCAAUAGAAUCUUUCAUUUCAGUCAAACCCAUUUUUACUACUUUGUCUCUCUCAACGCUACCCUUUCUUAGGGUUUCUCUUUCUCUCUCUCUCUCUCUCUCUUUCUCUCUUAAUUAUUUUAAUUUUUUUUCACCGCUCUCUAAGUUUCUCCAUCAAAGACCCAAUCUUUCGUUUUUUUUAAAGUUUGGGUUUUGUUCUUGGAAUUUUCCCAACGUGGAAAUCUCGCUGUUUGGGGGGGGGGGGGGGGGGCGGGGGGGGAAAGCCUCGAAAUCGAACAAAGGGAUUGACAUUCUGGGGCUUCAAAUUGCGUGAGCUUCGCUUCGAUUGGUUUUUUUGAGCAUAAAAUCUGCUCAAAAAACCCCCACCAAAGAUUUCCACUUUAGUUCUUGGACUGCGUAAAAUGUACGACUAUUUUUUUCUUUGACUAGUCUAAGCUAACUUUCUUUGCUUUUUAGCCUGUUUGCAGUUUUUGGAUCUAGGUUUUUUUUCAUGAAUUUAGGGAUAUUUUGGUGAAUUUGAACUAUAUUUGGGUUUUGAAUGUUAAUUUGUGAAAAUUGUUUGAUUUUCUUGCUAAUUUGAGCUAGAUUGGUUUGAGUUUGCUUGCUUCUGGAAAAAAAUAUGAAAUUUGCUCUCAUUUGAUAUGAAUAUGAAUAUUUGAGUUAUUUAUAGACUUCUGAUCUGCUCAGUUCAGUAAAAUAUGCUUUUUUUAAACAAAAAAUUGUUUAUGAUGGUCUUUCCCCAGCUUUGACAAGUUGAGCUAUUUGUAGAAUUUGGAUUAGGUUUAUUUAUGGAAAUGAUUGAAAACUGUUGCUUGACAUGGACUGAAGUUUGUUUAUUUUGAAUAAUUUGAUCACGUGCAGAAUUUGGUUCCAAUUUUUGGUGAGAAAGAGUGAUGCGCUGAGCAAUGGCGCUUAGGAUGCCAGCUCCAAAGGCGGCUGAGAUUGCCAUUGGGUCCAUUGGAUGUGGGUAUGAUAUCGGAAUGGAUCUUAGGCUGAAGUACUGUAAAGGGGAUUCAAAAAAUUCAUGUCUUAUUGAGAUUGAUAAAGACGGAGGCCGUGAGAUUGUUUUGCCUGGUGGAAUUUCAAUACCUAACGUGUCCAAAUCAAUAAAGUGCGAUAAAGGGGAGCGCACACGAUUCAGGUCUGAUGUCCUCUCCUUCCAACAGGUAAUAGUUUAUUGUAUGUUCAAUGCUAUCUGAUCAAUAUAUUUGGCUUCUACGGUUUUUUUUCCUCACAAAGUAGUCUGUUCAAACUGAAAAACUACAUGCUACCUGCGAAGUAGCUGUCUAGGUGAUAUUAUUGAUGUCCAUAUAUGUACUGGUAUUUGGAUGGUUGUCGCAUGCGUCAAAUCCUGUGAAAGGUAUAUGACAAAUGCUAUUCAUGUUUGGGAUUUGAUUGUUUUUUUUUUUUUGUGUUUGUCUUGAGAGUGUGCUCUUUCUCAUUAUUUUCUUCUAUUUUCUCCAGAUGUCAGAGCAGUUCAACCAAGAAAUAUCUUUGACUGGAAAAAUACCUUCAGGCCUCUUCAAUUCCAUGUUUGAGUUCUCUGGUUGUUGGCAAAAAGAUGCUGCCAACACUAAGAUGCUUGCUUUUGAUGGAGUGUUCAUAACCCUCUACUCAGUUGCACUGGAGAAAUCUCAGAUGGUGCUACGAGAUCAUGUCAAGAAGGCAGUCCCAUCUACAUGGGAACCUGCAGCAUUGGCAAGGUGAAUUUCUGCAUAAAUUUGGUCUUUGUAUUCUGGUGAUGGAGUCCUUAAAUAACACCCUGGCAUCUAGGAGGCAUUUUCUUGCUUACUUAACAAAUUGUGCCUCAGCCCUUGCUCAUUUCUCUCUCCCUCUCUGUGAAUUCUGCCAUCACAUGGAGUCUAAUCCAAUGAUCAACUUUUUAAUAAUUUUCUUAUACUGGUUCAGCAUGUAUAUUCUUGAUGAAAAUAAGUAGAAUGCUGUAGUGUUGGUUGGUUAUAAAUCUUCUGAUGCCCACUGCCUGUUUUAUUUAAAGUUCAUUACUUUCUGCUGUAUAAUAUUUGACGUCUGUUAUAUGAUAUUGAUGACAUCGCAGGUUUAUUGACACUUAUGGCACCCAUAUUAUUGUUGGUGUGAAGAUGGGAGGGAAGGAUGUUAUUUACAUAAAACAGCAUCAUUCCUCAAAUCUUCAACCUGCUGAUAUCCAGAAAAGAUUGAAGGAUAUGGCUGAUAAGAGGUUUUUAGAUGCCAAUGGACAUUAUAGCAUGGCGUCUGAGCAAGAUUUCCAGAGUGACAAGGUUUGCAAUAGAACUGUCAAUGCUAUUCUUCAAAUCCAUAGUUGUAUAUCUUGAUAAAUCUCAUUUCUUGGAUGGAAUGAAAUCAAUAUUCCUAGUUCAAUAUUCUUUUACAAUGGGGUACAAUCUUCAUGAGAGACUUGGCAAGCAGGAUUUUAUUGCACAAGUUGAUGCAGGUUCUUUGAAGCAUAUUAGCUUCAAAUUUUGUUUUGAAAACUGUUCAAAAGGAGAGUUCUCACACUCUCUCUCUUAACUUACUGUUUAAUGAGCAUAGUCUUAUCUUGUAAGUCUUUCAAUUAGGUUGGCAAUUUUGUUUUUGGUAUAUUACUUUGACAGUCUAUGCUUUAAAUGUUUGCCUAGGUUAGUAGAGAUUAAUAAUCUGCAGAAUAAAGAAAUUGUGGCUCUUCAUCUGCAUAUUUCUGAUCUGCUGCCAUCUUUGACAGUGAAACUUAUAUGUUUAAAUUUGUUAUUGGGUUUAAUAUGUUCUGUCAAUCAUCCUUAUUAGUGAACCAUUAGCAUUAUUUGUGAUAUCUUCUGAGGUAUCUUAUCUAAUCAUUUCUGUUUCAGUUUGAAAUCAGGGAGCAGCGGCUAAGGUUUGCACAUAACAGUCCAUCAAGUUCAUAUGCACGUAAAGAGGUUUGUGUUCUGACUUUCGUAUGGUGUUUUUAGCUUACUAGUUAAGGUCCCUUGAUAAAGUGUUAAAUUCUUUUCCCAAUAUCAGUGUUGUUAUUAAUUACCUAAAAAUUGCAGGAUAUUAUAAGCAUUUACAAAAGGAGAGGUGGAAGUGAUAAUAGAAACCUAUCUCAUAAUGACUGGUUACAAACAGUUCAGUCAGAGCCUGAUGUGAUCUCAAUGUCCUUUAUCCCAAUUACUUCUCUAUUGAAUGGAGUCCCGGGUAGUGGAUUUCUGAGCCAUGCAAUAAAUCUGUAUUUGCGAUGUAAGCAAGACCUAUUUUUUUGUGUACCUAAGCAUUUGGUUUUCUGCUACUAAUUAGAUCAAACUAUUGCAUCUUAUUUUUUAAAACAUAGAAGUCAUUUAUUAUUUUCUGGAAGAAGUAUGCCUCUGAUUUUUGUUUUUGAAAUUUCUUUUAAAUUUUAAAUGUAAAAUACCAUAAAUUCACUAACCAUCUUAUUGUUAUGAAAUCCUAAGGUAAUCAAACACAAGAGUUAUGAGCUUAUUUUGGUUGAAACUUUUGUUAAAUAACCAUUAGUUGUCAGUAAGGACCACAGUGCUUCAACUUAAUCCUCAACUAGAUGUGUCAUGAAGCAAUGAGAACAAAUUUUUGGCCCGCAAUGGCUCUUCUGAUUGACUUCUUUUUCCUUCAUUUGCUUACUGCUGCAAAUAAUACUUCUUUGUUAUUAUAGCAAACAGUCUACACAUGUUUCAUCCAUAAGCUAUUGCUCUUACAGAUAAACCACCAAUUGAAGAACUCCACCAGUUUUUGGAGUUUCAGCUUCCGAGACAGUGGGCACCAGUUUUCAGUGAACUUCCUCUUGGGCCACAACGAAAGCAACAAAGCACUGCAUCUUUGCAAUUCAGCUUCAUGGGGCCCAAGCUUUUUGUGAACACUACACCGGUAAAGCAUUUUCUCACAUUGAAAUUUUUCUGUCCUUUUUGUUGUAUGCACGGAGUGUUUGACCAUAUAGGUUUCAUCCAUGUAUGUGAGUAGUUCUUAUUGUCCUUGGCUAGAUAAAUUUCAUCUCAUGUUGAUAUACUGGUGUUGGAUUUAUAGAUGAUCACUAGAAUCUCUUCAGCAUUUGAAAUUUAAAAAUUUUGUGCCAUGAUGAUUGUAUGUCGAAAAGGAAAUAGCAUUUUGUGAUUUGACAAGAUUUAAUUAUCUCUAGAUAUAUCAAAGAAAAUGCUUCUAGGGAACUCAUAUCAGUGGUACUUUACAUAAGACUUUGUCUUCUUUAGUUCUCCUAAAGUGAGCACAGUUCAGCUUUGUGACAUAGUGUGGAUAUAAAGUUGCAAACUGAUGUUAACUCUUGAAUCAUUGAAGCGGCAGCAUGUUUUGGUGAAGUCUUAUACGUUGUUCAUAUCAAAGAAAGGAGCUAUAGCUAAUUUCUGGUUAUAUAAUUUCAUGACAGGUUGAUGUGGGUAAAAGGCCAGUGACUGGCCUCCGACUUUAUCUAGAAGGUAAAAGGAGCAACCGCUUGGCCAUCCACUUACAGCACCUUUCCUCCCUUCCAAAAAUCUUCCAACUUGUAGAUGAUCCAAUUGGGAACUUCUGCCAAAAGUCUCAUGAUCGUAAUUACUAUGAGAAAGUUUAUUGGAAGAACUACUCUCAUGUAUGCACUGCCCCUGUUGAGUCUGAUGAGGAUCUUUCCAUAGUAACUGGAGCCCAAUUGCAGGUUGAGAAUCAUGGUUUUAAAAAUAUUCUCUUUCUACGGCUACGCUUCUCAACUGUCUUGGGAGCUGUGUCUGCUAAGCAUCCAGAAUGGGAUGGAUCACCUGGGUUGGCACCCAAAUCAGGACUCAUAUCCACACUAAUCAGUCAUCACUUCACAACAGUACAGAAGCCACCUCCAAGGCCUGCCGACGUGAAUAUAAAUUCUGCUGUUUAUCCUGGAGGUCCUCCUGUGCCUGUGCAAGCCCCCA